rnacentral:rRNA from 1 species
UACGUAGGGGGCAAGCGUUGUCCGGAAUCAUUGGGCGUAAAGCGCGUGUAGGCGGUUCGGUAAGUCGGCUGUGAAAGUCCAGGGCUCAACCCUGGGAUGCCGGUCGAUACUGCCGGACUAGAGUUCGGAAGAGGCGAGUGGAAUUCCCGGUGUAGCGGUGAAAUGCGCAGAUAUCGGGAGGAACACCAAUGGCGAAGGCAGCUCGCUGGGACGUUACUGACGCUGAGACGCGAAAGCGUGGGGAUCAGACAGG